rnacentral:lncRNA from 1 species
CUUUACUUCAUCAUCAUCUUGGGCAAAGAGAUCACUUUUCUUAUAAUUGAUUGAAUUUUCGAUCUUUUAAAUCGAAAAAUGUGGAAUUUUUCUUCUUUUUUUUGGAGCGGGAAUAUAUAUAAAAAUUGUCGUACUGUCUAAAGGUGUGUCCUUAGUUGUGCGUGUGAUGUGGGGUCCUUUUACACGGCCAGGUAACUUGCUGUGCUACAGACAAUGUGAGCUGGCCUGACAAUAGACAGGGGUAGAACUCAGUUUGAAGUGUGCACGUUUGUUUCUUAUGUUCAGAAAGACGGUUCAAAGGUGGGGAGAUUCGUUGUAGAUCGUUGAUAAGAUUUUGUGUAUUGUAGUAUACGGACUAAAGGUUGUUUACUGUACACUCAAACAUCUCCAGAAGUUUGCAUUUUAACAGAAUAAAAAUCCCGGCGUAUAACGAAACUCUAAACCUCAUACAUCGCUUUAUAACUACCUCACAAGACUACAAAGAAAAAUCUUUCUAAAUUUAAUUUCGGAAGGAAAAAAAGCGUAACUCAUACGGCUACAACCACUCUAAACGGCUCCUAUAUAUCUAUUGCCAUCAUUUGAGGUUUCUUUAAUGUCAGUAAAAAGAACAAUUCCGUUGUUUUCAACGCUGUUAACGUUGCGUUAAUUGCCGUGUUUACUGUCUCAGCUACAGUAUUGUUAGGAGAAAUUUUAGUGUGUGAAACACAACCAACAAAAUAUAUAUAUAUAAUCAUUUUAGUGUGCCAGCAAUCAAAACUUUGUGUACGGGUUUUCGGAAGGAAGGUUUUGAUUCCCAAACAGAGAUUUUACGUCUGUUGACCUUAAUGAACUCGAUGCCCUUAUAAUAAAUCAAAACUUUUAUGUAUUUUGACACAUUUAGGAAGCGAAUUACGAAGUUAGCAAACACACACACAUAUAUAUCUGCAGCGCCUGGAAGUCUGUUCAUAAUGUUUGAUGUUUACAAGCAUUUAGUGAUUGUCUCCCGUGCGUUUUCAACACGCAGAAUAUCGAUUUUUGGCCAUAUUCGCUAUGCUGAAACGUUUUCUGUCGAAGCAACGAAUAUGCAUGAAAAAAAAAAAUCGCAUAAAUAUUACUUAUAUCGAGAUAUAAGUCUGUUAAAAAAUUACGUAUAUCUUACAUAAACAUGGUUUCAUCCAUUAAAAUAAUUUCCGAUCAUUUGUUCCUCUUAUCCUUGACACAUAUAUUUUCGCAUGUUGAGUUGAUAAAUUGUAAAAAUAUGUUCAUGUUUCUGUAUAUAACAAUUAUGAGAGAUAUUAAGCGAAAUUAAAUGAUCGUUAAGUUGGCCUACAAUUUUAUUUUAUUUUUUUUUUUAUCUCAGUAAAGUAUCUUUUUUUGAGGUACUGAUCAACAAGAUCUAGCCGAACUCCAUAGAACGUUGCAUAAUCAUAAUGAUGAUAAUGACGACGAUAUUUAGAAAUUAUCAAUUAAAAUUUUAAACGGCCGAACUACUCGUAAAAAUUGAAUUUAAUUUAUAACUAGACGUACGCGAGAUAACCAUCAGGAAUACCAUAAAUCGGCGUUAAAACAAUACAACUACAGAAUUACCAUAAAACAAAUUGCCGUUUCAUUAAUCUAUUCUCUUCUAUCUCGACUUCUGUAAUAAAUUAGCAAUAUUUUUUAUUUUUGCAGAAUAAAUUCGUUGGUG